rnacentral:tRNA from 1 species
UCCCUGGUGGUCUAUUGGUUAGGAUUUGGCGCUCUCACCGCAGUGGCCCGGGUUCGUUUCCCGGUCAGGGAA